rnacentral:lncRNA from 1 species
UUUCGUUACGUAUGUCACACAGGAUUGUUAACUGGCAUAACUACAAACGUUUUGAGGACAAACAUUUAUUGUUCAGAUUUUCACAUUUUCAGCGUCUUCCUUUUUUUUUUAUAAAUUUUGUCCAUUGGUCUCUAUAGUGGCGGAUCUAGAACUUUGCCUUAGGGGGGCACUCCGGUUAUGCUUCAAUGAUUCCCUAUAUAAUAAACCAAAUUUUCCCACGAAAGAGGGGGUCGGGGCCCCCCAGGAUUGGCCUAUGCUUUAUCACGCAGUUACUGUCUUUUUUUCAGUUUUUAGCAAAUGUUCCUCUUUGUCAUUUAUUCAUUUUUUCUGCACUUUUAAUUUUGUCAUAUUAUUCUCUAUUCAGUUAACCCAGCCCAGACCCUCAUAUGAUUGUGAUCAUUACUAUUGAGCAUGUUGAGUGUGCAAG